CGCACCUUGCACCCUUUGGUAUUCCAAUGGGUAUGCCUGUUUGAGUGUCAUGAAUACUCAUCCACCUCGAGUUCUUCUCGGUAGGUGUGAUGGUUUGGGUGUUUGCCAGUGAGCUUGUCUCUGGCUCGCCUUAAUAGCAUAAGUGAUGAUGUAUGAGAUGUAAUACGUUUCGUCUCAGUCCUCAGCAUCGCUCAUAAACCUCUUUACUUUCAAUCUGACCUCAAAUCAGGUAGGGCUACCCGCUGAACUUAA
rnacentral:misc_RNA from 1 species